rnacentral:rRNA from 1 species
ACCGAGGUGGCAAGCGUUGUUCGGAAUUACUGGGCGUAAAGGGCGCGUAGGCGGCCUUCUAAGUCAGACGUGAAAUCCCCAGGCUUAACUUGGGAACUGCCGUUGAUACUAUCUGUCUUGAAUACCGUGGAGGUGAGCGGAAUAUGUCAUGUAGCGGUGAAAUGCUUAGAUAUGACAUAGAACACCAAUUGCGAAGGCAGCUCGCUACACGAAUAUUGACUCUGAGGCACGAAAGCGUGGGGAUCAAACAGGA